CAGACUCAAAUUUUAAUUCUUUCUCUCUGUUCAUGUCCCUGGCUUCCCUCUCCUGAAGCCAGGCACAGCGCCUCAGCAGAGGGAUAAAGGAGGCUGUGCAUCAACACAUCAACACUUUCUGUUAACCUCUCUUUUGACAGAGGGGUUUGGAUUUGUUGGCUCCUCGAAACACAUUCCUGCUCUGUUGUUCUGCAAAAAGAAAAUUUGUAAAACUGGGAACAUGAGAAAGCCAGACAGACCUUUGCUCUCUUCCACGAAUGUGGAGUCAUAAAUGAAGAAGUGAAGCAUCUACCACCAGACGGUCCCACUGCUUCCAAGUGGCACACUACCUCCGAGUCAGCACGGUUUCACCCCUGGGAGUGGUUCCCCUGGGGUUCUGCCUGCAGGACAUCUGACCGCUCUCCCUGUGCCCCCGCGAUUUGAGGCGUCUGUCUUCAGCUCCGCACAGGUCCUCUUAGCCUAUUACUCAAUUAGAAAGGGUAAUGUCUUUAAAAUCUCACUACACAAAGUACUGGCUUUGUGAAAAGGCUCUGACCUAUUUUGCCCUGCCUGGAUUGGUUUUAACAUCAUGUAGAUAGUAAGUAACAAACUCAUUAAACCAUUUCCAUUCUUGUCUUAGGGGACAACGUGGUGCCCUCCCCUUUUACAUGUUGCUUCUCUUAUCAGCUUCACUGGCUUUGUCUACUAACCCCAUGCCUGGGGAAUUAUAAGGAAGGGAUUCGGGCACCGUGUUGUCUGCGGCAUGAAUCUUGCCAGGCUGUGGCUGUCACCAAGGUUAUUGGACACUCCUCCCUGAGCAGGACCCACCUGGGAGGCAUGCAGAUGACAAGUGCCACUCAACCUUUUCCUCAGUGCCUGCUGGGCCCCGUGUGCAUGUUCAGGUAAUGAGAGGAACCUCGGAGCAAGUGGAGUAAGUGAGUGUGGUCACUCCAACAACAGACCAACCCAUGAGAGGUCUGAUUUCACGUUAAAAUGGGAAAUAUUUGGUUGAAUGGAAUUGACGGAAAGGCAGGAAUAGCCUUUCUCAUUCCCUCAUGGAUAGAAAAAAUGCACAAACCACGUUAUCUGUUGGGUUGCAUGGAAUCGCUCUGACUGUUUUAUUACCACCAUUCACGUAGCAUUUUAUGUGAAAGGGAAUGCUGGGCG
rnacentral:lncRNA from 1 species